rnacentral:rRNA from 1 species
UACAGAGGUCCCGAGCGUUGUUCGGAUUCACUGGGCGUAAAGGGCGCGUAGGCGGCCGUGUAAGUCACUUGUGAAAUCCCGGGGCUCAACUCCGGGGCUGCAGGUGAGACUGCGUGGCUAGAGCACGGUAGAGGCGAGUGGAAUUCCCGGUGUAGCGGUGGAAUGCGUAGAUAUCGGGAAGAACACCGGUGGCGAAGGCGGCUCGCUGGGCCGUUGCUGACGCUGAGGCGCGAAAGCGUGGGGAGCAAACAGG